rnacentral:rRNA from 1 species
GACGAACGCUGGCGGCGUGCUUAACACAUGCAAGUCGAACGGAAAGGCCCUGCCUUUGUGGGGUGCUCGAGUUGCGAACGGGUGAGCAACACGUGAGUAACCUGCCCCUGACCUUGGGAUAACUUCAUGAAACUGGGGCUAAUACCGGAUAGGAUCUCCUGCUGCUUGGUGGGGGUUGGUAAGAUUCGGCGGUUGGGGAUGGACUCGCGGCCUAUCAGCUUGUUGGUGUGGUAGUGGCUUACCAAGGCUUUGACGGGUAGCCGGCCUGAGAGGGUGACCGGCCACACUGGGACUGGAAUGCGGCACAGACUCCUACGGGAGGCAACGGUGCAGAAUAGUGCACUGUGGGCGGAGGCCAGGUGCAGCAACGCCGCGUGCGGGAUGACGGCCUUCCGGUUGUAAUCCGCUUUCGCCUGUCACGAAGCGUGAGUGACGGUAAUGGGUGAAGAAGCACCGGCUAACUACGUG